AGUGACCUCAUGACAUCCACACCACCUCCCAACAUUGUCAUACAGUGAUCAAGCUUCUUAGCCAUGAGCCCUCUGAUUACACUCACACUAUAGCAGGGCUCGUUCGUAUUUUCUAAAAAUAAUUUUGUAAGGCCAUCACAAAACACAGCAAAUACCAGAGUUAGAGGAAAGGUUUAUUGUUGGGUGGGGGAAGCCUGACAGGCCAGGGGGAGAGGGCGAGAGAGUAAGAGAGGGUAGAAGAGUGUAAGAGAGAGAGAUCAAGAGAGCAUGUGUUCAGGAACAGGUCCUGUUAAACUUUUGCUGGGGGGUGGGCAGGGAAAUAGGAGCAUCGAAUCCCAUUAGGGUGGGGGUGGGGCUGACAUUGGUGGUUGGGCCAAGGGGCUUAGGACCGAAGCCUACUGUGCAACAUGGAGACCGGGGCCAGGGCGUAAGAUAGCGAGUGAGGCAUUGAUGGUGCCACAGAUAAGACCGCACCAUUUUACUAACAAAUUUACUUUCCCUCUAAAUUCCCUACAUUCCCCUAUGAAGAGUGUGUAUGAGCCCAUAAAACCCAGUGGUUUUGGAAGAACCAGCCAGAGGGAAUGUCUUUGCUGAACCAUAGAGUCUUAGCCAUACAGACUGGUAGAGCUAGAAGAUGCCUUAGAUUAGCUCUUUUUGUUUAAAUAAUUUAUUCAUCCAUCCAUUCAGAGCAUUCUUAUUAAUCUUGGAGCUAUACAUCUCUGCCCACAGAAGAAAAUUUUUAGCAAGUGACAAUUUCUUGCCUUUGGUGUUUUCUAAAACAAGCCUGUGUCUCAGAAGAACCUUCCCAGCUCCCCUGGCCUCAGGAAAUGCUGUUUAUCCCUCCAAGCCCAGAGCAGGUGUCGAUUCCUCAGGAAACCUCUGACUCCUUGCUCUAUCCAAGAAGAUGAGUUUGUUCUUCCAAGGUGUUGCCCUUGAAUCCAUCAUCUCUGUGUUUCUACCCUUCUUUUAUUGAUCAAUGAACUUCUCUGCACUUAUUGUCUCUUGCUAGACAGCUGGAAGAUUGAGAAUUGUCUUACCCAUUUCCAUUUGCCAGAGCCUGACACACAGUAGGUGCUCAAUAAUCAUGUAUUGAAUUGAUUUACUUGCUCCACAAGUACUUUAGAGUCCCUACUAUGUGCCAGACAUUCUUCUGAACAGAGAACAGAACAGGCAAAUGUCCCUGCCAUCCUAGACCUGCCCUGCUGAGGAAGGGAGUGGGAGAAAUAAUCAACUAAAUAAAUAAGCGAGUAACACAGUAUGUCAGAUGGUGGCAAUGGAGAAAGUAGAUUGUGGAAGGAGCUGUGGAGUGGGGAUGGGGUUGUAGUUACAAACAGGGGAUCCUGCAAAGACUGAAGAGGGGGGCAGAGGGAACCAUGAUGCUGUCUGCAGGGCGAGGGUCCUAAAGCCGGUGUGGUGUGUGCAAAGUCCUAGAAGCAGAAUGUGGCUGCAGCUAGGUAAGUAAGUGACAGGAGUAAGGCUCAGUGCAUUGAUUUGGAAGAGGAAGAGAAUGGAGUUCUUGACCUCCAGAGACUUAGAGACUCAAAGGGAAGCCAAGACUCAGGAAGGUGAAUGUUUUUCUUUGGAUCACACAGCACUGCAGCAUGAAGAUAAAUGGCCCUGCCGCCUUACAGGAAGCAUGUCUUGUGUCCUGCCCUGAACAAAGGAAGAGGAUGAGAUUCAGCCAGACGCGGUGUCCAGGGAGGGCGUGUCAGUCAGAGCCUCAGCGCUGCCAGCAAUUUUGAAGCUACCCAUAUUUCUGCUCAUGAGGGACAUUUUCUUGUUCUGCAACCUUUUAGCAGAUGACAAGCAGCUAGGCGAUCCUGGCGGAGCUUUCUCGGAUGCCCUAUAUGUCUGGGAGGAAGGGAAAGGACAAGGGCGCGCUGAUGCAGUGGUGGUCAUUACCAUUGUCAGCAGGCUCGUCAACAUCAUCAACAUCAGCACCAUUUUCAAUCAUGAUGAGGCACAAGAAAGUGUACAGCCUGGCUCCUGUGAAAAAUGUACCAUUGUGGUCAGGUAGAUGGUUCUACCCACCCAUUUCUCCAUUCACAUAUUCAUUCAAUCAUGCCCUCAUCCUGCACGCUCCUACUGAGCUCCUGUUACAUUCUGGAUGAUUAUUGAGGAUCCAAAUGGAUACUCUUUGCCCCUGGGGCAGGUGUUAGGGGAAGGCUGCACAGAGAAGAGAAGCUCUGCUUAGCUCAAAGGAUGGACAGAAUUGUACAUAGAUGGCAGAAUAAAGAGGGGAUGUUCAGGCCAACGGAGCAGCAAGUGCAAAGAAGAAGAGGCAACAAAGGGUGUGGCAUAUCUAGGGAAGACCAGAAGUCCGUUGUGUGUGGCUGGCACAUGGGAGGGGAGCGCUGGGGUAGCUAAAAGGCAGGUAGGUUGGGCCAGAACUGAGGGUCGAUCUGUCUGCCAUGAUAAGCUUCAAGGUACUUCUUCCUCCCAGCAACCAGGAGCAGGGGAGUGACAUGAUCAAUGGAGUUUUUCAGGAGACCUCCUGAUUGCAAUGCAGAGGAUGAGGAGGUAGCAGGGACUCAUCCCUGUGAUUUCUCUAGAAACCACGUGGAUCCAGAUAAACAGAGCAUGGGGGAUGAUGGAGAUGCGGUUCAAGGAGAAUGUGGAGAGGUGAGCAAGAUAAAGCCCUGCUUGUGCAGUUCAGAGGGACCCAGCAGCCUUUCUGAUAAAUUGUGAGUGUAUUCCCACCUGAUAGCAGGAGGCUGUGAAGCCCUCAAAUGUUGACCUCCACAGAGGACAGGUUUGAAGAGUGGAUUUGGAGCCAUCAGUGUUGAGAUGGAAGUGGAGGUCAUGGCACUGGGCAUUGUGGGAGCACAGGGGAAGGGCACCUAGCUGACAUGCAGAGUCAAGAAAAGCUUCCUGGAAGAAUGGUUGUCACUCCAUCUUGAAGAGUGAGAAGAGAAAGAGACAUUGAGGUCUGAGAGUGGAGAUUUGGUGGAGGUAGGAUGAGGGUGGGUGGCGCUGCAGUUAGGGUAGGCAGACAUGAACAUGAAGGAAUGAAGCCCGUAACAAACGUGCAUGUGUGUGUGUUUGUAUGUGUGUGUGUGUGCGUGUGUGUGUGUGAGUGGCCAUGCACAUGCACCUGAGGAGUGGUUGCAGUGAUGACAAGAAAGAAGACAGAUGGAUAUCAAGGAGAUGUCUCAAUAUGGUGAAGCAUGAGGAAUGAUAAGAACUUGAACUAAGCUCCGACAGAGGGGACAGAAAGGGCAGCACUGAUUUGGGAGGCAUUUAUGAACAGGAAGAGCAGCACGUUUCAGUCAAGGAGAUGAUGUGGUUUCAGAUUCCAGGACAGAAUCACCAACCUCUAUGGCUACAAUAGGACCCACGUCUGCCAGCUGCCAGUACCUUCAUGGUGUGUGGUGCAUGUUUCGCUGGGUUCUGAAUCCCUGGGGAUGCUCUGGGAAGUUGUAUUUUUCCUGGUAAUAUGGAAAGGGAUGAACAGGCAGCAGGCAAUGUCUCUUCUCUCUUUCUUAUUGCCUCCUAUUCAGCAACCUCAGGACAUUUUGAACCAAUAAGAGGAGAAAAAGUCAUGAGAACAGCCCUAGGGUGGGCACUGUGCAGUGGUUAGGACACUGCUUUGGACACUCGCAUCCCAUUCCAGAGCACCUGGGUUCGAAUUUUCGCUCCACUCCCAAUUCCAGCUUCCUGCUAAUGCACACUGUGGGAGGCAGCAGGUGAUGGCUCAAGUAGCUGAUUCCCUGCCACCCAUAUGGAGGACCUGGAUUGAGAUCCUGGCUUUUGGCUUCAACUUUGCUUAGGCCUGGCUGUUGCUAUCAUUUGAGAAGUGUGCCAGUGGGUAGGGGGUCUCUCUCUCUGCUUCUCUCUCUUUCAAAUAACAUAAACAAGCAAAUAAAAAGAAAACAGCCAUGGUGCUGGCCUUGACAUCAUAGAGUUAUUGAAUGUAUGCCAGCAGCCACUUACCUCCAUACUACCUGAUAAUGGCCUGUUUCAAUCAGGCUUUCUGGUAAACUGCGUGAACAUACUACUUGAUACAGCAAAGUCAAGGCUGCAUUAGGCCCAGCCCUCUGGAGAGCAUAGAGCUGCAGACUGUGGUUUGGGGGCCAUAAGUGCGUAUUUGGAAGGUGGAGUCAGGGGCUGGUUACAUAGAGUGACUAGUGAAGAGGGAGUGACUGGCUUUCGGGGAGUCAGAAAACUGGGAAAAAUGAUCUACGGAGGCCAAGUGUGAAGUUCAUUGUCAACAACUUGAUGGAUGCUGGGCUGCUUUCUCUCUCUGGGCUUCACAUCAGUCACUCAUUUAACACUUGUUUACUAAGAGAAAGUCCCAUGCUUGAGUGGCUGUGGCAGUUACACAGCUGUCCUUUUGGGCACGGGCUCUGUGAUUUCUGGAGAGCCCCAUCCAGCAUUUCCCUGUGUGCGGAAGAGGACCUGUCUUGUUUCUGAGUGAGCCGCCUGGCAGUACUCUGUGGCUGUUGCCCUUGUCUGUACUGGGCAUGGUGCAGGGAAGAGUAGCUGAUGUUUGACCCUAGAUAGUCCACAAGUUCAACUGUGUGGGGUCUGGGAGUCUUUGAAAAAGCCACGCACCAUGAACAAGGUCAAUGCUUGCCUUUGGACAAGUCAGUGUUCUCUGUGACUUGUAAAAGCUAUCAGAUUGCGGUAUCCUCACUGCUCUUUCUUUAUAGAGGACCCUGGCUUCUUUACUUCGUGGUGUAGAUCAGCGAUAUGAUGACAUCACUGGAGGGGAGUUGGCUGCAGCAGGAAUCUGCCAGGUCGCAGUUUUUGGUUCUCCUGGAGCCAGCACAGUAUGUGCUCAGAGAACAGUGGCUGUGGCAUCAACAUUCUUGAACCCCAGCCUCAGUCCCAAGAUCAGUGAAGGAGCCUCAUUUGUAAAGUGGGGAUCAUAUUGAGCUAAGUUAUAUGCUGUUUGCCACAGCAACUGAUUGUAGGGGGCUGUUGAGCUCCAUCCCCUAUUUUUUUUUAUUUCAUUACAUUAAAAGCAUUACUUCUAUUUGCAAGGCAGAGCAACCUUCCAUUUGCUGGCUCACUCCCCAAAUGUCUGCAUCAGCUAGGGCUGAGCCAGGCAGAAGCCAGGAGUCAGCAAUUCCAUCUGGGUCUCCCACAUAGGUGUCAGGGACCCAAGUACUUGAGUCAUCAUCUCCUGCCUCCUAGGGUAUGCAUUAGUAGGAAGUUAGAUCAGAAGAGGAGGUGGGACUCUAUCUCAGGCACUCUGAUGUGGGAUCAGAGCAUUUCAGGCAGCAGCCUAAUAGGCUGCACACCAGAACCCUCCCUCACUUAAAACACUUGACUCCUAUGUAAUGCUAGCUUGUACAUCUUCAUGGGCCACAGUGAAACAUUACGAUAGAUGCAUUCAGUGUGAACUGAUCAAGUCAGCCAACCAGCAUUCUCACCUCCCCUUCUCCCCCCAGGUUUGGAGUCUACUAGCUGUCUCCUCCAGAUCAUUACACAGUGUAGAAUAAACUAUAGUGAUCUGCAGUUGCCCCACUGUGCUGGGGAGCACCAGAACCCGCCUAUUCUAGAUUUUGGUACUCCUUGCUUUUCACAGCCUCAUGCAACACACCUUCAACAUGUAGGGAGCUUCAGAUUCAAGCUGAAUUCUGUCUUCAACAAUCUGAUCCAUUUCGAGUCUCCUCUCCUUGCAGGGGCUUGGCCCUGGAAAUGAUUUUUGAAGGCUUCUCUGAUUUGAACUACUCAAUGAUUCUGUUAAAGCUGGUUUCAAUGUCUGGAGUUUUUCUUUUUGCCAGAAGGUGGUGCUAUGAAGUCUCUUAUUUUAUUACGAACAGCUCUGUGUUUGCCUCAAGGUCUGGGUGAUCCAAGGUGGCCCCUUAGAUGGUCUGAAUGUGAACUUUUGGUGGUGAUGGUGUGGGAGUGUCGUUUUGUAGAUCCUAACUAUUCUUCAACCCCAGUCUUUCCCAGUCCUGCUAAGUCAGGCUGCAGUCUGGUCCAGCUCUUCUCAAGUCUCACAUCUGAUCUGUGCCUCCUAGGUUCUGUGGCCACAGAAGGGAGGCUGUGAGCCCCUGCACCAUGGGGAUGGCAGGUGUCUGAGGCCUGGUCCCCAAGACUAUGCUGGCGCAGGUUGCACCUGAGACUGGACUGGUUGAGGGCCUCAGCAGAAACAGUAUUUGGGCUUGGCCAGGCCUCCCAAGACCAUUUCCUACUGCUCACCCCACAGCCGCAUGUCCUCGUGUCCCUGCAAGCCUCAGGUCUCCUGUCCUGGGUUGCUUUCCCUCCUCAAGUCCAGAGGAAAUUGUUGGUUUUGCUGUGGAUCACUAUGUAGAAACAGCUGCUGUCUUCCACAUGGUGACAAGUCACAGCAGAGAGACGGAGAAAUUAGAAGUAUAGACUGAGGAGGAAGGAGAAGAGAGAAUGAAUGCGCCACUUCCCCGCUGUUUCCUCCCAAGUCAUAUUGGCAAGAUAAGUUGAGCCAAGAGGAGAGAGGAAUGUGAAUUAAAAAUUCAACAUGACACUGUUUUCGAAUGAACUGGACUGAAUUUUAAUAUCUAAAAGUGACUGAAAAACUAUGUUGCUAAGAGAUGGGAAGGGAGAUUUAACACAGCAACAUUGAAGCAGUGAUGAGAGGGAAUAAAGUCUCCAUGUUUGAACCUCACCAGGUUUGGAUUUGCAAACACUGGCUACAUUAUCAUUUAGCUAUUCAUCUCCUAGGAUAACUGAAUUAGCAAUGCUUCCUUCUCCUGGCAGCAGAGUUCUUGGUGUAGGCAAUGUCAUGUGUGUGUGAUCAGCAGUGUUUAGGAGAAAGUGUAUGUUAUGAUGAUGCUGUCAGCUUCUAGGGCCCUCAGGAGCCAGAAAGAUCACACAUGAGGGAAGCAGGCUUGGUUAGGACUGACAAGCCAGAGAGCUCAUGCCCUACUUAAAGGGUUGUUCAGCUGCUGCCUUGCAGAAUCAGUAGGGUAGGAGCUUGUAUUGUUGGUCAUGAGCACUAAAUCCUUGGCUUGGUUGCCACUAGCAUUCCCUCUGCCUCUUGUUGGAUUGCAUAGAUCUGCCAGUUCUUGACAUUUCUCUACCCAGCCCUUUCAGAUACAGUUUUGCUGUGUCCUCGCAUUGUGGUCAGGGGCACUUCCUCACUUCUCUCUGUGUUCUCUCUUGACUUUCUCAUGACUUGUGUUGGCUGAUGGUCUGUUAGCAGAUGAGGUUGAGAGGCAGGCUUGCAGUGCACUUGGACGAGUGGGUUUGUUGCCUUGUGCCUCUGCCAUUGCCAUGAGUAGAACAUGCUUGAGAUAGCCUGGCAACUGAUUCCAUAAGAGGAGUGAGAGGUAUUUGGAGCAGAGCUGAGCCACACCUGUCAAAUCCAUCUUGCGACAACACAUGAUGGCUGUUGCAGGCCUCUGAAUUGUGGGGUGGUUGGUCACAUAGCAAUUUUGCAGUGACAGUGAGACCAGCACAACCCCUCCAGCCAGCACUGACAUGGCAACUCUCUUUCUUGCUGAGUCUCUAGAUGGCCAUUGUUAAUCCACAAGAAUGAGCAGACCAGGUGAACUGGUGAACCAGGUGAACCUCCAGGGGGCACACAGAGAGCCUCUGAAGGCUGGCCUGGGGGUUUUGGGUGUGUUCAUGGUGCCUCUUCUUUGUCUGUUUUGUUUUUGAAUUUAUAGAGCUUUGGCUCUGCCACAGUGAGCUGUUCAAUACUCACAGGGUAUCUGAUUUUGUCUAUUUGGUCCCUUUUCUUAGCAUUUGUACUCUGGGCUUUUUACAGCUUCAAAGAGCUUCUCGCCCAUAUUCACUAAUUAAUUCAUUACUCCUGUGAGUAAAACCUGCAGCAGUGAGUGGAGAAUGUCAUUAGCAAGAAUACCAGAGGCUCAUUAUUUAAAAGAGGUUGUCCAAAUCCAGGCCCCCUCCACCAGAGCUGUUAACCACAUCUCUGCUGACAGUGCCUGAGCAGCAGGUGUAUAGCAGGGAGUUACCAAGCACUGAUUAUGUAUGCAGCUAUGCCCAGCGCCAUUGGGAUAAAGAAGCUGUAAAACAUGGUUUCUCUACCUUUAGUCUAGUGAGACUUUGGAGUUAUACAGACCUGAAUUUGAAUCCUGGAAAUUUAGAAUUGUGUGGCUUUGGGCUAAGUAGCUCCUGUAAGUUUCAAUUUCCACAUCUCUAAAUGCCUCUUUAGUGUCUAAGUGAGGAUGACCCCACAUGAUGCAAAUGGAAGUUUCAGUUCAAGGUCUGGACCACAGUAAGUGCUCCACCAAUAUGGUGAUUCCCAACCUCACUCAGCUGGUGCCUGGCACAGGCAUACAGGACACUGGGGCAGAGGGUUGAAGUAUUGGGAAUACCUUUAUGUCAUAGUUGAGAUGAGGGGGAUGGGAGAGAAGGACAUAGAAGGGCUGGAGAAGUAGGAGGGAUACCAGUGCAAUGCCAGCACGCAGAGGCCAAGGAAGAAUUUCAGGAAUGGUGAGGGUGGGGGGGUGUGGCACUCAGUCCUGUCCUGCACUAAGGAGAGAAAGAGCAAAUGUAGAUGGAAAACAUCCAUCCGUUCAACCCCCCAGAAGUUAUUAAGUGCCUGGGGUGGCCAUGAAAACACCCAUCCAAAGUGUGUGAGGGGAGCAUGACUGGCAGUCCAGACACGUUCUGCUCUCCAAACAGCCAUGCAUGAGUGUGGGAUAUGUUUCUUCUGGGCUUUUCUGUGAGACUCAGGUGGUCUAAUGGACUCCUCAUUGGCCCAAUCAAAAACAAUCUUAAAAUCAUUAUGGGUCUAAUAUUCUUCCUACCCCUCUCCUGGUACAGCUCUCAGAGCUGCACUUCGGUUCCAAGGAUCUCCUUGUUCCCUGUAACCCGUAUCUGUCACAAGUGGGAUAUACAACAUAUCUCUUGCUCUUCUAGCUUCAUCUGGGCUUUGGCUUUCUGGAAUAUGCAAAUUAACACCAACUAAUGGAGUGCCUAACAUGAGUCAUGCCAUAUAUUCUGCUUUGGAGAAAAUAGUGGUGGCCAAGACAAACAUUCCUAACCCCAUGCAGUAGUGAAGGUAAUACAGAAUGCAGGAUAAAUAGGUCAAUAUAUCUACCCAUUCGUCUGUCCACCCAUCCAUCCAUCCAUCCAUUCACCCAUCCACCCAUCCAUAAGAAUAUAAAUUUUAGACACUGAAGCUUGCUACGAAAAAACCCAACCCAACCAAACCUAACAAAAUCAAGGAGAUAGUUUAGAUUGGGGAGUGAGGAAGGGCCUUUGAAAUAUUCAACCAGAGACCAGAAAGUUGAGGAGUCAGCUAGUCCAGUGAUGGAGUUGUGGUCUUUGAUGAUUAAUUUUAUCUGUCAUCCUGGCUGUGCUAGGGGUCAAAUAUUCUGGAUGUUUCUCUAAGAGUGUUUUGGAAUGAGAUUAACAUUUAAAUUGGUGGUCUCUGAGUCAAGCAGAUUUCCCUUUAUAAUGUGGGUGAGUCACAUCCAAUAAGUUGAAAGCUGAAUGGAACAAAAGAUUGACCUCUUCCCAAUUAAGAGAGAAUUUUGGCCUUUGGACUUGAACCACUACGUUGACUUUUCCUGAUUCUCCUUCCUGACAACCUUCAGACUCCCCAUCCUGGGUCUUGAGCCUGCUAACCCAGCUUGCGGAUUUUGAACUUGUCAACCUUCCCCACUGUAUGAGCCAAUUCCCUAAAGCAAAUCUAUUUCUAUAUUCAUACACAUCCUAUUGGUUCUCUUUCUCUGGAGAGUUCUGACUAAUUCAGGGUGGGGAAGUAUUCUGUAUUCUUUGUAGAGAGAACAGCACUUGCCAAGAAGGGGAGUGUGUCUUCAAGUCAGCAGGAAGGCUACUGUGGCUGGGGCUUAGUGACAGAGGAGGACCUGGGGAGAGAUGAGGGCUUGCUGGAACCAAACCACAGGAACAGACAAUGUGGACAUUGUUGGUGACCUCUGAGAGCAUUGUUAGUCCAGCAGUGAGAGUGGGAGCCAAUAAGUGUUUCAGACCUAAGUGGGUGGCGUGGAAGUUGGAGUUGAGGAAUAGGCCAUUGUGUCUAGGCUCAGUGCUUACAGAACGAAGAGUAGCCUCAGUGGGGAUUUUUAAGAAAAAGAAUCUUGCUCACAGAUAUGAGCAGGCUAAAGAGUGAGAGAUUGAUUGACAUGGCAAGAGGGAGAGAGGGGAUAAUUGAUGACAAGGAGUCCCAGACACAGUGAAAGUUAGGCCAUUGUUAUUGAAGGAUGCCUCCUGUAAUGUAAUGAUGUCCUAAUAUCCAGGUGCUAUGAAUGUGAUGUAAUAAAGAAAAAAAAAAUCUAUCUUUGCAAAUGUAAUUAGGUUAAGGAUCUUGAGAUGAGAUCAUCCCAUAUGGGCCUUAAAUCUAUCACAGAAUAUUCUUGUAAGAGAAAGAAGAAAAGACACGGAAACACAUGAAGAGCAACUGGACCACGGAGACUACCCAGAGUGAGGCUGCCAAGGACGCCAGGGAUUGAGGGGAGCCAACAGAGCUCCAGCGGGAGGGCAGCCCUGCUGACAGUCUGAUUUAGGACCUGCAGCUUUCAGAACUCUGACAGAAUAAAUUUCCAUUGUUUUAGGGCACUGAGUACGUAGUAAUUUGUUGUGGCAGCCCUGGGAAACAAACACAGGAGUGACGGACCCAAAGUGACAUCUCUUCCUCCUAUAAAUGUGGGCAGCUCACCUGUUUGGGGAUAUGCACCUCCUGGGAUACCUCAUUACUGUGGGCUCUGUGCCUUCUCUUAUUGCUGUGUACAAUAAUUUUUAUUUAUUUGAUUCGAAAUGGAAACAGAGAGAGUGAGAGUGAGAGAGAGAGAGAGAAGAGAGAGGAACAGAGAUCUCCCAACUAUAGAUUCAUUUCCUAAAUGACAGCGACACGGGCUGGUGCUGUGGUGUAAUGAGUAAAGCUGCCGCCUGCAGUGCUAGCAUCCCACACAGGUGCUGAUUCGAGUCCUGGCUGCUCGACUUCCAAUCCAGCUCUCUGCUAUGUCCUGGGGAAGCAGUAGAAGAUGGCCCAAGUCCUUGGUCCCCUGCACCCACAUGGGCAACCCGGGAGAAACUCCUGGCUGCUGGCUUUGGAUUGACCCAGCUCCAGCUGUUGCAGCCAUUUGGGGAGUGAACCAGUAGAUAGAAGACUCUCUCUCUCUCUUUCUCUCUCUUUCUCUCUCUCCACCUCUGCCUCUCCGUAAUUCUGCCUUUCAAAUGUAUAAAUAAAUCUUAAAAAAAUGCCAGCAACAGUUUGAAGUUUAAUUCAGGUCUCUCAAAUGGGUGACAGUGACCCAAGUACUGGAGCCAUCAUCUGCUGCCACUCAACGUAUGAAUCAGCAGGAAGUUGGAAUGGAGAAUGGAGCUGGGACUCAAACCCAGCACUGUGAAUUGGCAUGUGGGCAUCCCAAGAAGCACCUUAACCACCGUGCCCCUCUUGUUGCUUUUGCCUAUUUUUCAUGCUUCCACCCAGGAAGCCCAGCGGUGUAGGGAAAUGAUAUGACCUCGGGAUGCAGACUUGCUAGAUUUUGAAAUACAGCUUCUUAUUUGCUUGCUUUGUGAUCUCUGAGCCUCAUGUUAUUCCAGGUUUCCUUGAGGACCAAAUGUUCCACUUCAUGUGGAGUUCUUAGCACAGGCCCUGGGGCUGGUGUACGCUUUACUUAUGUCCUUUCACCUCAAUGUGAUGUAUUCAUCUUUAUUCUCCUUUAAGAGUUAUUGGAUGUAAUACAUUCAUAAUAAGGAGUUAUUGACUUGUGAUUCGCUGAGAUUUUGAUUUGUUGUUAUUGUUGAUUGUUGAAGUAUCUAUGUAUUGAGUCACUGCUAUAUGUCAGGUGUCCAUCUCACCAUUUAAAUAAUGUAUUUAUUUAAUUCUCAUGCAUGCUAACAUUCAUGUACUAUCGUUGAAGGGGAUAAAAGCAGUGGAGGCAUAAUUGGCACCUGGAUCUGAUUCCUGGGUCCAUUGUACUAUCCUGAUGAAGAGCCCUUUCUGUCAAGCAAGUUGAAGCCUUUUGUGUUCUUGCCUUCACUUCCUAAGAGCUAGCCUAAGUCCCUCUUGCUGCAGUCUGUCUGUAGUCCCCUGCUAAGCCCCUGCCAGAGCCAAACCAUGUCCUGGCUGCUUUGCAGCUUUCUCAUCCAGUGUUUGUCUUUUUCUUUUCCCUUACUGGGUGUAGAGUUAAAGCCCAUUGCUAAGACCCUGUCUCUUCACAGAUCUUUUCACAUAACGUUUAAUGGCUUGUAAUGACUAUGACCCCAGUGGCAGUCACCUAGUGACCUUCAAGUUGGCAUUUCAGUUAGCUGUACUGAUUGCUGGGUUUGGGCAUUUCAUAUAUUUGUGAGUAAACUUAGCUGAAGAGCAGUCAGUUAAGGGACUUAGCACUAGCCUGCUUCUUUGGGGGAAGGGUGGGAAUUAAAAACCUCAUUGCAUUUUCUUUUGCUCUGGUUGAGAGAAAGAAAGAAAAGGUGACUCUCAGGCAGGCAGUCACAGCGGGAGGCUUAGCCUCCUGUCAGCUUAACAAGUGUGAGAAUUCCCUUUUCUCCCCUCUCAUCUUCCCCUUCUCUUCCUUCCUCUCCCCUCUCCCUGUCACCCCUUCCUUUCUUUUCCUCUCCUCUUCUUGUUUUUCUUCCAUUCUUCAUUUCUUUCUGGAUGAUUUUGGUGGACACAUUAAGAACUUAAUGUCUCCAUGCCUCAUUAGCCUAUGGGCACCGAUGGGGCAGAUUGUUAGAGUUGACCUUGGACUUCACACACAUACCUCAAUUGUCUGUGUGAGCCCUUGUGUCCCCUGUGAAGGCCAAGUCCUUCCUUCCCAGGUACCCCUGGGAGUCCUCUGCAUGUCUCAAGAUGCUUACCCGCCAGCUGCUCUGUGGUACCUGCCAUGCCUUUCCUCCCCUACAGGGAUCUUCUUCCACGGCGUCCUCUUCCUACUGGGCUUCCUGAGGCAUCUCACUGUGGCCAGUGCUGCUGGGAUCUCUGGUGGGAGGGUGGUAAAUCUGGGAGCACAGAGUCCUCUGAUGCUGCUGAGUUCAGCUGUCUUGGGGUGGGACCACCUGGAGCCCCCAGGAUUCAAAAGUUCAUGUCAUGAAGGGUUGGACUUGGCCCCUGGCCUCCAGAGAUUCAGAUACCCUUUGCUCUCCAUUUCCCCCUCUUUUCUCUUCUCUGGGUGUCCAUACCUCAGUGCUUCCCCUCUUGAAUGCCAUCUCCACCAUUCCAAAUAAAUAAACCAAACCCAAGUGACAGUAAAACAGGAAGAUGCACAGAUGUUUUGUGGGUUCAAGGGACACAAUACCACUUCAAAAAAAAAAAAAAAGAGUUGUUAAAAAUAGAAGCUUCUUUUUAAGCUUUUUUUUUUUUUUUUUUGACAGGCAGAGUGGACAGUGAGAGAGAGAGACAGAGAGA